UGACCCCUGCGAUGUUCGUGACAGAGGCUGACUUUGGGAGAACCGAUGAUAUCCCUAAGGGAGGCCAGGCCGGAUUGGACCGAACAGGCCUGCUUGACAGGAAGUUCGGACAACCGCAACGGCGUCCCACCUUGAAAUAAGGGGUUUCUUUCAAGGCCUGCUGCACGGCACCGGCGGAGGUAUA
rnacentral:other from 1 species